UGGGGAAUAUUGGACAAUGGGCGCAAGUCUGAUCCAGCCAUGCCGCGUGAGUGAUGAAGGCCCUAGGGUUGUAAAGCUCUUUCACCGGUGAAGAUAAUGACGGUAACCGGAGAAGAAGCCCCGGCUAACUUCGUGCCAGCAGCCGCGGUAAUACGAAGGGGGCUAGCGUUGUUCGGAUUUACUGGGCGUAAAGCGCACGUAGGCGGACUUUUAAGUCAGGGGUGAAAUCCCGGGGCUCAACCCCGGAACUGCCUUUGAUACUGGAAGUCUUGAGUAUGGUAGAGGUGAGUGGAAUUCCGGGUGUAGAGGUGAAAUUCGUAGAUAUUCGGAGGAACACCAGUGGCGAAGGCGGCUCACUGGACCAUUACUGACGCUGAGGUGCGAAAGCGUGGGGAGCAAACAGG
rnacentral:rRNA from 1 species